rnacentral:rRNA from 1 species
UUAAGCGACUAAGCGUACACGGUGGAUGCCCUGGCAGUCAGAGGCGAUGAAGGACGUGCUAAUCUGCGAAAAGCGUCGGUAAGGUGAUAUGAACCGUUAUAACCGGCGAUGUCCGAAUGGGGAAACCCAGUGCAAUUCGUUGCACUAUCGUUAACUGAAUACAUAGGUUAACGAGGCGAACCGGGGGAACUGAAACAUCUAAGUACCCCGAGGAAAAGAAAUCAACCGAGAUUCCCCCAGUAGCGGCGAGCGAACGGGGAGCAGCCCAGAGUCUGAAUCAGCUUGUGUGUUAGUGGAACGGUCUGGAAAGUCCGACGGUACAGGGUGAUAGUCCCGUACACCAAAAUGCACAGGUUGUGAACUCGAAGAGUAGGGCGGGACACGUGGUAUCCUGUCUGAAUAUGGGGGGACCAUCCUCCAAGGCUAAAUACUCCUGACUGACCGAUAGUGAACCAGUACCGUGAGGGAAAGGCGAAAAGAACCCCGGCGAGGGGAGUGAAAAAGAACCUGAAACCGUGUACGUACAAGCAGUGGGAGCACCUUCGGGUGUGACUGCGUACCUUUUGUAUAAUGGGUCAGCGACUUAUAUUCUGUAGCAAGGUUAACCGUAUAGGGGAGCCGCAGGGAAACCGAGUCUUAACUGGGCGUUAAGUUGCAGGGUAUAGACCCGAAACCCGGUGAUCUAGCCAUGGGCAGGUUGAAGGUUGGGUAACACUAACUGGAGGACCGAACCGACUAAUGUUGAAAAAUUAGCGGAUGACUUGUGGCUGGGGGUGAAAGGCCAAUCAAACCGGGAGAUAGCUGGUUCUCCCCGAAAGCUAUUUAGGUAGCGCCUCGUGAACUCAUCUUCGGGGGUAGAGCACUGUUUCGGCUAGGGGGUCAUCCCGACUUACCAACCCGAUGCAAACUACGAAUACCGAAGAAUGUUAUCACGGGAGACACACGGCGGGUGCUAACGUCCGUCGUGAAGAGGGAAACAACCCAGACCGCCAGCUAAGGUCCCAAAGUCAUGGUUAAGUGGGAAACGAUGUGGGAAGGCACAGACAGCCAGGAUGUUGGCUUAGAAGCAGCCAUCAUUUAAAGAAAGCGUAAUAGCUCACUGGUCGAGUCGGCCUGCGCGGAAGAUGUAACGGGGCUAAACCAUGCACCGAAGCUGCGGCAGCGACACUAUGUGUUGUUGGGUAGGGGAGCGUUCUGUAAGCCUGCGAAGGUGACCUGUGAGGGUUGCUGGAGGUAUCAGAAGUGCGAAUGCUGACAUAAGUAACGAUAAAGCGGGUGAAAAGCCCGCUCGCCGGAAGACCAAGGGUUCCUGUCCAACGUUAAUCGGGGCAGGGUGAGUCGACCCCUAAGGCGAGGCCGAAAGGCGUAGUCGAUGGGAAACAGGUUAAUAUUCCUGUACUUGGUGUUACUGCGAAGGGGGGACGGAGAAGGCUAUGUUAGCCGGGCGACGGUUGUCCCGGUUUAAGCAUGUAGGCUGGUUAUCCAGGCAAAUCCGGAUAAUCAAGGCUGAGGUGUGAUGACGAGGCACUACGGUGCUGAAGUAACAAAUGCCCUGCUUCCAGGAAAAGCCUCUAAGCAUCAGGUAACAUUAAAUCGUACCCCAAACCGACACAGGUGGUCAGGUAGAGAAUACCAAGGCGCUUGAGAGAACUCGGGUGAAGGAACUAGGCAAAAUGGUGCCGUAACUUCGGGAGAAGGCACGCUGGUGUGUAGGUGAAGUCCCUGCGGAUGGAGCUGAGACCAGUCGAAGAUACCAGCUGGCUGCAACUGUUUAUUAAAAACACAGCACUGUGCAAACACGAAAGUGGACGUAUACGGUGUGACGCCUGCCCGGUGCCGGAAGGUUAAUUGAUGGGGUUAUCCGUAAGGAGAAGCUCUUGAUCGAAGCCCCGGUAAACGGCGGCCGUAACUAUAACGGUCCUAAGGUAGCGAAAUUCCUUGUCGGGUAAGUUCCGACCUGCACGAAUGGCGUAAUGAUGGCCAGGCUGUCUCCACCCGAGACUCAGUGAAAUUGAACUCGCUGUGAAGAUGCAGUGUACCCGCGGCAAGACGGAAAGACCCCGUGAACCUUUACUAUAGCUUGACACUGAACAUUGAGCCUUGAUGUGUAGGAUAGGUGGGAGGCUUUGAAGCGUGGACGCCAGUCUGCGUGGAGCCAACCUUGAAAUACCACCCUUUAAUGUUUGAUGUUCUAACGUUGGCCCCUUACCGGGGUUGCGGACAGUGUCUGGUGGGUAGUUUGACUGGGGCGGUCUCCUCCCAAAGCGUAACGGAGGAGCACGAAGGUUAGCUAAUCCUGGUCGGACAUCAGGAGGUUAGUGCAAUGGCAUAAGCUAGCUUGACUGCGAGCGUGACGGCGCGAGCAGGUGCGAAAGCAGGUCAUAGUGAUCCGGUGGUUCUGAAUGGAAGGGCCAUCGCUCAACGGAUAAAAGGUACUCCGGGGAUAACAGGCUGAUACCGCCCAAGAGUUCAUAUCGACGGCGGUGUUUGGCACCUCGAUGUCGGCUCAUCACAUCCUGGGGCUGAAGUAGGUCCCAAGGGUAUGGCUGUUCGCCAUUUAAAGUGGUACGCGAGCUGGGUUUAGAACGUCGUGAGACAGUUCGGUCCCUAUCUGCCGUGGGCGCUGGAGAAUUGAGGGGGGCUGCUCCUAGUACGAGAGGACCGGAGUGGACGCAUCACUGGUGUUCGGGUUGUCAUGCCAAUGGCACUGCCCGGUAGCUAAAUGCGGAAGAGAUAAGUGCUGAAAGCAUCUAAGCACGAAACUUGCCCCGAGAUGAGUUCUCCCUGAGACUUUAAGUCUCCUGAAGGAACGUUGAAGACGACGACGUUGAUAGGCCGGGUGUGUAAGCGCAGCGAUGCGUUGAGCUAACCGGUACUAAUGAACCGUGAGGCUUAACCUU